rnacentral:lncRNA from 1 species
GUGAUUUCCCUCUCUGUCUCCUUUGUCCUUUUUCCAGCUUACAGUCUUUCUCUGACGUUUUUCUUGCCUCUUACACAGGGUCUUUGCUACUGGACCUACUGCAGUUAGCAGAAGAGCCCCCACCCAAGGCUGGGCAGGAACUCAGGGUAUGGCUUCAGGGGGCCCAGGAGCCCUGCACUGUGAAGCCAGCCCAGGUGGAGCCAUUGCUGCGACUGUACCUGCAACAGGGACAGGUGACUGCCCCUCACCUGCGCCUUCACCAAGGCUGAGCUCUGAUCCAAAGCCAGCACUGCAACCCUUCUCUCCCCCUCCCCUGCAGCCGUAUGAACCACUUCCAUCUCUGGAAGAGUCCAGAGCCUUUGCCCAGCAGUCCCUGAGCCGCCUCCGACCUGCUCAUAAGCAGCUGCAGAACCCUGCUGUAUACCAGGUCAGCCUAUAGGCGCCUGGCCUAUGUGUCCUGUGUGCCCCCUGCUUGCUUCCCAGCUCCAGCUGCCAUAUCCCCUUCUUCUCUCUGCAGGUCGCAUUGUCAGAGAAGCUUCGGGCACUGGUGGACAGUCUGAGUGCUCGAGGUGCCCUGUGAAAAAGAUCACAAAGAACACGACUCUCUCUUCCCAC